UCGGGAAUAUUGCGCAAUGGAGGAAACUCUGACGCAGUGACGCCGCGUAUAGGAAGAAGGUUUUCGGAUUGUAAACUAUUGUCGUUAGGGAAGAAAAAAGACAGUACCUAAGGAGGAAGCUCCGGCUAACUACGUGCCAGCAGCCGCGGUAAUACGUAGGGAGCGAGCGUUAUCCGGAUUUAUUGGGUGUAAAGGGUGCGUAGACGGGCAAGCAAGUUAGUUGUGAAAUCCCUCGGCUUAACUGAGGAACUGCAACUAAAACUGCUAGUCUUGAGUGCAGGAGAGGUAAGUGGAAUUCCUAGUGUAGCGGUGAAAUGCGUAGAUAUUAGGAGGAACACCAGUGGCGAAGGCGACUUACUGGACUGUAACUGACGUUGAGGCACGAAAGUGUGGGGAGCAAACAGG
rnacentral:rRNA from 1 species